GCAUCAAGCAUACCAAAGUAAACCUGAAAACAGAGAUUAAAAGCCUCAUAAGGAGUUUCAUAAAACGUACUUAUUUCAUUUUCAGCACAACAAAUAUGGUGUGCCAGAGAUACUCCCUCCGUAGCCCAGUCACAAGAAAGUUGCAUUUACAUUUCAUUAGAAUUCAAAUAUAUAGGUAUCAUUUCAAUGCUUUAACCUACUAGGUGUUUGGUUGCUGUGAAGCCUACACCCAAAAAAGAGGCUCAAUUGUCAUAUGAAACUGUUUGGGCAAUACAAGCAUUUCAUUUAUAGCUAGACAACUGAGAAUUUAGAAGAGCAUUUUUACUUUUCUUUAUUUCCCCUGGCUUCCUUGGCAACUAGAAGAUCUCAUUGUGUUGUGUCCAGUUCUAAGCAAGCCAGGCAUUGAUCACAGAAAUUGACAAACCUCUUCUGUUUCAAAAUAUAGAUAUGUAUAAAGCUGAGUAUAAGCCUUUUGGUAAAUCAUAUCAUCCUCAGCAUGACCCCUUUAGUGGAAAUUGCACUCAUCAGUAAGAGGAUCUUAGUUUUUAGAUUGCAUUUAACACGCAGAAAAGGAAUGCCCACUUAACAUGUGGAAGUGUAACAAUUUUAACUACUAUCUAAUUCGAGUAUUGUUCACCGAAAUAAUAGAUUGCACAUCAAUCAACAUCUUUGUAUAAUUCCAUUAAUGCACUACAUAGAGUUAUGUUCAUGAAUAUGUAAAACUGCCUUAAUCCCAUAGUUUCCCAUGUCAUAAAAAAUAGCUUAAUAACUCAAAGUCCAUUUCAGUUUUUAAACUUCAAACAAUCACAGCAACUGUUUAGUUUUUAACACAAGGUGAACACAGGUAGCAGGAAAAAUCAAUAAAAUAUGAAAAGAAGAAAUGUAAAAUGCUUAUUGAUUAUCAUAAGGUUUGAUGUCCAAAAUAAAUUCCAUUUUGGCAAAAAUAAUAACAAAGUAUAGGCAAUCUGCCCCACCCAACUAUUAACAUCAUCAUCCUCAAUGGCAUUCUAUAAUAGAAUCACAGAUUAGUAGGUGGAAAGAUAGUACAGUAGAACUUACCGACAUAUCUCCCAAAGAUUUG
rnacentral:misc_RNA from 1 species